rnacentral:rRNA from 1 species
AUUGAACGCUGGCGGCAUGCUUUACACAUGCAAGUCGAACGGUAACAGGCCGCAAGGUGCUGACGAGUGGCGAACGGGUGAGUAAUGCAUCGGAACGUGCCCAGUCGUGGGGGAUAACGCAGCGAAAGCUGUGCUAAUACCGCAUCCGAUCUAUGGAUGAAAGCGGGGGACCGUAAGGCCUCGCGCGAUUGGAGCGGCCGAUGUCAGAUUAGGUAGUUGGUGGGGUAAAGGCCUACCAAGCCGAAGAUCUGUAGCUGGGCUGAGCGGACGACCUGCCACACUGGGACUGAGACACGGCCCAGACUCAUCCGGGAGGCCGCAGUGGGGAAUAUUGGACAAUGGGCGAAAGCAUGAUCCAGCAAUGCCGCGUGCAGGAAGAAGGCCUUCGGGUUGUAAACUGCUUUUGUACGGAACGAAACGGUCUGGGUUAAUACCCUGGGCUAAUGACGGUACCGUAAGAAUAAGCACCGGCUAACGACGUGCCAGCCGCCGCCGUAAUAC